GGUUAAGCGACUAAGCGUACACGGUGGAUGCCCUGGCAGUCAGAGGCGAUGAAGGGCGUGCUAAUCUGCGAUAAGCGCCGGUAAGGUGAUAUGAACCGUUAUAACCGGCGAUACCCGAAUGGGGAAACCCAGUGUGACUCGUCACACUAUCAUUAACUGAAUCCAUAGGUUAAUGAGGCGAACCGGGGGAACUGAAACAUCUAAGUACCCCGAGGAAAAGAAAUCAACCGAGAUUCCCCCAGUAGCGGCGAGCGAACGGGGAGGAGCCCAGAGCCUGAAUCAGCAUGUGUGUUAGUGGAAGCGUCUGGAAAGGCGCGCGAUACAGGGUGACAGCCCCGUACACAAAAGCGCAUGUGCUGUGAGCUCGAUGAGUAGGGCGGGACACGUGGUAUCCUGUCUGAAUAUGGGGGGACCAUCCUCCAAGGCUAAAUACUCCUGACUGACCGAUAGUGAACCAGUACCGUGAGGGAAAGGCGAAAAGAACCCCGGCGAGGGGAGUGAAAAAGAACCUGAAACCGUGUACGUACAAGCAGUGGGAGCCCCACCACCAAAGCAUUCUCUGGUGUUGAAGGCCCUGCAAAGCAGCAUCGCGGUGGCGGAGCGUCGUUUGCGACGCCCAACACACAAAACAAGCGGUGAAUGCUUUGGGGUGGGGUGACUGCGUACCUUUUGUAUAAUGGGUCAGCGACUUAUAUUCUGUAGCAAGGUUAACCGAAUAGGGGAGCCGGAGGGAAACCGAGUCUUAAUUGGGCGUUAAGUUGCAGGGUAUAGACCCGAAACCCGGUGAUCUAGCCAUGGGCAGGUUGAAGGUUGGGUAACACUAACUGGAGGACCGAACCGACUAAUGUUGAAAAAUUAGCGGAUGACCUGUGGCUGGGGGUGAAAGGCCAAUCAAACCGGGAGAUAGCUGGUUCUCCCCGAAAGCUAUUUAGGUAGCGCCUCGUGAAUUCAUCUCCGGGGGUAGAGCACUGUUUCGGCUAGGGGGCCAUCCCGGCUUACCAACCCGAUGCAAACUGCGAAUACCGGAGAAUGUUAUCACGGGAGACACACGGCGGGUGCUAACGUCCGUCGUGAAGAGGGAAACAACCCAGACCGCCAGCUAAGGUCCCAAAGUCAUGGUUAAGUGGGAAACGAUGUGGGAAGGCCCAGACAGCCAGGAUGUUGGCUUAGAAGCAGCCAUCAUUUAAAGAAAGCGUAAUAGCUCACUGGUCGAGUCGGCCUGCGCGGAAGAUGUAACGGGGCUAAACCAUGCACCGAAGCUGCGGCAGCGACGCUGAUGCGUUGUUGGGUAGGGGAGCGUUCUGUAAGCCUGUGAAGGUGUGUCGUGAGGCAUGCUGGAGGUAUCAGAAGUGCGAAUGCUGACAUAAGUAACGAUAAAGCGGGUGAAAAGCCCGCUCGCCGGAAGACCAAGGGUUCCUGUCCAACGUUAAUCGGGGCAGGGUGAGUCGACCCCUAAGGCGAGGCCGAAAGGCGUAGUCGAUGGGAAACGGGUUAAUAUUCCCGUACUUGGUGUUACUGCGAAGGGGGGACGGAGAAGGCUAUGUUGGCCGGGCGACGGUUGUCCCGGUUUAAGCGUGUAGGUGUGUGUUCCAGGUAAAUCCGGUUCACUUUAACACUGAGGCGUGACGACGAGGCACUACGGUGCUGAAGCAACAAAUGCCCUGCUUCCAGGAAAAGCCUCUAAGCAUCAGGUAACAUCAAAUCGUACCCCAAACCGACACAGGUGGUCAGGUAGAGAAUACCAAGGCGCUUGAGAGAACUCGGGUGAAGGAACUAGGCAAAAUGGUGCCGUAACUUCGGGAGAAGGCACGCUGACACGUAGGUGAAGUGAUUUACUCAUGGAGCUGAAGUCAGUCGAAGAUACCAGCUGGCUGCAACUGUUUAUUAAAAACACAGCACUGUGCAAACACGAAAGUGGACGUAUACGGUGUGACGCCUGCCCGGUGCCGGAAGGUUAAUUGAUGGGGUCAGCGCAAGCGAAGCUCCUGAUCGAAGCCCCGGUAAACGGCGGCCGUAACUAUAACGGUCCUAAGGUAGCGAAAUUCCUUGUCGGGUAAGUUCCGACCUGCACGAAUGGCGUAAUGAUGGCCAGGCUGUCUCCACCCGAGACUCAGUGAAAUUGAACUCGCUGUGAAGAUGCAGUGUACCCGCGGCAAGACGGAAAGACCCCGUGAACCUUUACUAUAGCUUGACACUGAACAUUGAGCCUUGAUGUGUAGGAUAGGUGGGAGGCUUUGAAGUGUGGACGCCAGUCUGCAUGGAGCCGACCUUGAAAUACCACCCUUUAAUGUUUGAUGUUCUAACGUGGACCCGUAAUCCGGGUUGCGGACAGUGUCUGGUGGGUAGUUUGACUGGGGCGGUCUCCUCCUAAAGAGUAACGGAGGAGCACGAAGGUUGGCUAAUCCUGGUCGGACAUCAGGAGGUUAGUGCAAUGGCAUAAGCCAGCUUGACUGCGAGCGUGACGGCGCGAGCAGGUGCGAAAGCAGGUCAUAGUGAUCCGGUGGUUCUGAAUGGAAGGGCCAUCGCUCAACGGAUAAAAGGUACUCCGGGGAUAACAGGCUGAUACCGCCCAAGAGUUCAUAUCGACGGCGGUGUUUGGCACCUCGAUGUCGGCUCAUCACAUCCUGGGGCUGAAGUAGGUCCCAAGGGUAUGGCUGUUCGCCAUUUAAAGUGGUACGCGAGCUGGGUUUAGAACGUCGUGAGACAGUUCGGUCCCUAUCUGCCGUGGGCGCUGGAGAACUGAGGGGGGCUGCUCCUAGUACGAGAGGACCGGAGUGGACGCAUCACUGGUGUUCGGGUUGUCAUGCCAAUGGCACUGCCCGGUAGCUAAAUGCGGAAGAGAUAAGUGCUGAAAGCAUCUAAGCACGAAACUUGCCCCGAGAUGAGUUCUCCCUGAGACUUAGAGUCUCCUGAAGGAACGUUGAAGACGACGACGUUGAUAGGCCGGGUGUGUAAGCGCAGCGAUGCGUUGAGCUAACCGGUACUAAUGAACCGUGAGGCUUAACCUU
rnacentral:rRNA from 2 species